rnacentral:rRNA from 1 species
CAGCAGCCGCGGUAAUACGGAGGGUGCAAGCGUUAAUCGGAAUUACUGGGCGUAAAGCGCACGCAGGCGGUUUGUUAAGUCAGAUGUGAAAUCCCCGAGCUUAACUUGGGAACUGCAUUUGAAACUGGCAAGCUAGAGUCUUGUAGAGGGGGGUAGAAUUCCAGGUGUAGCGGUGAAAUGCAUAGAGAUCUGGAGGAAUACCGGUGGCGAAGGCGGCCCCCUGGACAAAGACUGACGCUCAGGUGCGAAAGCGUGGGGAGCAAACAGGAUUAGAGACCCCUGUAGUCCCUGUCUCUUAUCA